rnacentral:ncRNA from 1 species
CCCCCGCUACUCCAUUUCAAUAGCGGCUGGUCAGCCAUAAAAAAGGAGGAGAUCCCCAUCCGCCUGGCCGGCGGUGCGGCAGUGUGGAGACCUGUCGUAAUGCACCGGGAGUUUCGCUCUCCCGGCGUGAGGAAGCUUGUGCGGAGGCACAGCUUUUACGGCCGUACAUAUGGCA